rnacentral:rRNA from 1 species
UACAGAGGUCCCAAGCGUUGUUCGGAUUCACUGGGCGUAAAGGGUGCGUAGGUGGCAGGGUAAGUUUGAUGUGAAAUCUCCGAGCUCAACUCGGAAACUGCAUUGAAUACUAUCCUGCUUGAGGAUUGGAGGGGAGACUGGAAUUCUCGGUGUAGCAGUGAAAUGCGCAGAUAUCAGGAGGAACACCGGUGGCGAAGGCGGAUCUCUGGGCCUUACCUGACGCUGAGGCGCGAAAGCUAGGGGAGCGAACAGG